UUGUGUACUUUGCUGUGCAGUACUGUUUAGAGUACAGUAGUUCAGUAUCUUUAUUUCAAACGCAGGAUGUCCGGAAGCAAGCGUAAAAGCAGCGGUGACGUAGCUGGUACGGCUAAGAGGCGCCAGCUGUGGUACUGUACUACUGUACGUUUCAAGGUGAACAAAGUCACCAGUGGAUGAAGGAUGACUUUCGCCCAGAGUAGACAAAUAUGGCUAAGAGCCCGGUUCUGGGCUGGACCCCCUGGGUUUGAAUCCCAGCUCUCUCCUUGCCAGCGGUGACCGUGGCAAUUCAGUUCACCCUUCUGUGCCUCAGUUCCUCGUCUGUGAGAUGCAAAGGAUGCCAAUACCUCCCAUUAGGCUGUGUGAGGAGCGCAUGGGAUUCUACACGUGAAGCUGCCCGGCUGACGCUGAGUGUUUGCUGCAGGGAGCAGGAAACAUAUGCAGAACCUUCAUCCUUGGGAAUUCCUGUCGCAGAAAGGAAGAUAAAUCUCAGCCUGGGGGCACUGGAGUAAAGGCCAGACGGGACAGGACACCCGGAAUAAGGGUGAUGGAGACUCCGGUGUUAAGACCGACUAUCUGGGUCCCAAAAGGACCUCAGUCUUAGCCCCAACCUACUCCCAGUGAGAUCCUGGGCAGUCACUUGCCUGUGUAGAAGCUGCUUCUAAUCCCCAGACAGGGUUAGAUUAGGUUAUUCUUUCCAGCAUACACAUUCACCACACCCUUUACAUCUCUUACCAUUUAUCACACAUUAAAUAAUUCACCGUACAAGUAAUUAAUUUCUGUCUGCCUCAGUGUGUUAUAAAUUCCAUGUGAGCAGAGACC